GAGGUUGUAGAGAUUACAUGGUGUGAAUUUGGGGGUGUUUGGAGGUUGGCCGCCGCCGGUGGGUGAUUUCCGGCGACGGCGACGGAGAGAAGAGAGAGAAGAGAGAGAAGAGAGAAAGAGUUAUGGAGGAAA